rnacentral:lncRNA from 1 species
GUUUUAAAAAGUGGGGACAGUGUAGAAGCCUCAGUGACAGAAAGAAGUGCAAUUUCCCUUUCUCUGAAGAGGGACAAACAAAGGCAUGAGCACAUUCCACUGAGCUGUUAUGAAAAUGAAGUGCAGACAGCAGGCUGAGUAAUGAUUGCAAAUCCAAUGACCUACUUGGUGACGGCAAAGAGAAGGGAGCUGCAAGACAUGGGGCACCCAUGGCCAGAGUCUCAGGUGACUGCCAUGCCCUUCCAGUUUGUGUACACAUUAAGGAAGCUAAUGUUCUCCACUGUGGCAUGUACCAAGGUCAUAUGCUAUGUCAAGACCUGGAGUUGUGGAUCACACAGAGAUGUCAUUAGAUCGGGGGAAAAGGCCGUAAAAGAAGAGACCCAAGCAAGCCGUGCCCCAGAUGGCUGCCUGACUAGAAUGUCAAGGAGGGGACAUCACGAGAAAAUGAGAGGAAGCUGACAAAAAUGCUGAAGCAGGGGUAUAAUGGGAAGAUUUCAACUUGAGCUUUGAUUGGAUGGCUAAAAACAAAUAAA